rnacentral:rRNA from 1 species
UGUCCAAGUAUGAACGUUUCUGUACAGUGAAACUGCGAAUGGCUCAUUAAAUCAGUUAUAGUUUAUUUGAUGGUUCCUUGCUACUUGGAUAACCGUGGUAAUUCUAGAGCUAAUACAUGCAGAAAGUCCCGACUGUCUCGGAAGGGAUGUAUUUAUUAGAUCCAAAACCAGUGCGAGCUCUCCUCCGGGGAGUUCGGUUCGCGGGUGAUUCAUGAUAACUGCUCGAAUCGCAGGGCCCUAGUGCCGGCGAUGAUCCAUUCAAAUUUCUGCCCUAUCAACUUUCGAUGGUACGGUAGUGGCCUACCAUGGUUGCAACGGGUGACGGAGAAUUAGGGUUCGAUUCCGGAGAGGGAGCCUGAGAAACGGCUACCACAUCCAAGGAAGGCAGCAGGCGCGCAAAUUACCCAAUCCCGGCUCGGGGAGGUAGUGACAAUAAAUAACAAUGCCGGGCCAAUUCGGUCUGGCAAUUGGAAUGAGUACAACCUAAACUCCUUAACGAGGAACAAUUGGAGGGCAAGUCUGGUGCCAGCAGCCGCGGUAAUUCCAGCUCCAAUAGCGUAUAUUAAAGUUGUUGCAGUUAAAAAGCUCGUAGUUGGAUUUCGGGGCGGCCCGGUCGGUCCGUCGCAAGGCGUGCACUGGUCGUGCGCCCUUCCUCUCGGAGGCCCCGGCUGCUCUUGGUUGUAGCGGUCGGGGAGUUCGGGACGUUUACUUUGAAAAAAUUAGAGUGUUCAAGGCAGGCUGCCGCCUGAAU